CCGCAAGCCUUCCAGCGUGGCUCGGUCGUGCCCAUGACCCUGAUCAUUCCUGUAGCGCUUGCAAGAGCAAAUCUGUGACGUUUGAGGCCUCCCACUGCUCUGUCUUGGGGGUGAGGUUAUAGAAAUCUCAGACAAGC
ensembl:snoRNA small nucleolar RNA SNORA9